GCCAGCAUGGCGUAGUGGUUUGAGUACUGGAGUAUGACUCUGGAGAUCAGGGUUUGAUUCCCAGCUUGGCC